GUUGGCACGAUCAUGUGAAUUUUCUUGGCUGUUUCGAUGUACACGGUUUCACUGCAGCUAAAGGAAGGGACCUACUAGCAAUAAUUUCCACAUCUGAUUGCUAACACGGAAGACCUGAGAAGAAGCCUCAAUUGUUAAUAUGGGGUGGAAGGCGAGAUAGUGGCCAUCUUACGCUAGAUUCUAAUGGCCAUUGCUAAUACCUCCAGUUGUGGUCCUGACUACGGUGAGAACAUU
rnacentral:lncRNA from 1 species